CGGCCCCGGCCCCGCAGCCUCCGGGACCGCGGCAUCGGCGGCUCCGCACCUGCGUUUCGCUCCGCGCCGGCUCCGCCGCAUCCUCCCGGCGCCGGGGACAGAAGUGAUAGCUGGGGGCGAUCCGCGCCGUUAUUAACUUCUGUUUGAUCAGUGUAAUUGCGCCGAUCGCGGCCGGACGCGAUGAUUAAUUACAGUUUAAUUAACGUGGCCGUGACGAACGCUGCAUGCGGGAACCCACCCAGGGCGGAGACGCGGCUGCGGGGCCCCCUCCGCGCCGCUGUCACCGGAUCAAUGUGCGGCGGCUCCAAGUACGGCUCCGGAUCCUCCCUCGGCGGCGCGGCUGGCCACUCGCUCUUGUUGCAUCUCGCCCGGGCGGACGCGGCGCCGGGGCGGGCGGCGGCCCCGGAGAGCGGCCGGGAGCCUUCAGCGGGUGCCCGAGGCCCGCCCGGCUCCCCGCGGGGGCGGCUCGGCGGGGCCGGGGCCGGGGCCGGAGCCGGGGCGCCCCCCCCGCCCGCCCGCCGCUCGGCGGAGCGCGGCCCCCGGCGGAUGGCGGCCCCGGCGGCGGGCAGCGGAGCUCCGGGGCUGCGCGGCGGCCGCUAGCCCCGAGGAGAGCCCGCCCGGCCGCCCGUCCAGCCGGGCUCGGCGCCCCGGGGCGUUUUGGGGGGAAUGGAGGCGAUCGCCAGUCAGAUGGGAAAUGGGAGAGAUGCAAGCUCCUCCCCAAAUUCAAAGCAAGAGCUGCAGCCGUACCAGGGCUCCAAUACCCUCAAGCCCAACCAAGUGGGUGAGACCUCUCUGUACGGAGUGCCCAUCGUGUCCCUGGUCAUCGACGGGCAGGAGCGGCUGUGCCUGGCGCAGAUCUCCAACACGCUGCUCAAGAACUUCAGCUACAACGAGAUCCACAACCGGCGGGUGGCCCUGGGCAUCACCUGCGUGCAGUGCACGCCGGUGCAGCUGGAGAUCCUGCGGCGGGCCGGGGCCAUGCCCAUCUCCUCCCGCCGCUGCGGCAUGAUCACCAAGCGGGAGGCGGAGCGGCUCUGCAAGUCCUUCCUGGG
rnacentral:lncRNA from 1 species